rnacentral:tRNA from 1 species
GCAGCGAGUUGUAGCCUCGCUUACGGGGCCCAGUACCCCCCCCACCACCAAAUA